GACAAACGCUGGCGGCGUGCUUAACACAUGCAAGUCGAACGGAAAGGCCCUGCUUUUGUGGGGUGCUCGAGUGGCGAACGGGUGAGUAACACGUGAGUAACCUGCCCUUGACUUUGGGAUAACUUCAGGAAACUGGGGCUAAUACCGGAUAGGAGCUCCUGCUGCAUGGUGGGGGUUGGAAAGUUUCGGCGGUUGGGGAUGGACUCGCGGCUUAUCAGCUUGUUGGUGGGGUAGUGGCUUACCAAGGCUUUGACGGGUAGCCGGCCUGAGAGGGUGACCGGCCACAUUGGGACUGAGAUACGGCCCAGACUCCUACGGGAGGCAGCAGUGGGGAAUACUGCACAAUGGGCGGACGCCUGAUGCAGCAACGCCGCGUGCGGGAUGACGGCCUUCGGGUUGUAAACCGCUUUCGCCUGUGACGAAGCGUGAGUGACGGUAAUGGGUAAAGAAGCACCGGCUAACUACGU
rnacentral:rRNA from 1 species